AUAGGUAUGUUCUUUAAACCUAAAGAAUUUGGCGGUAUUUUAGUCUAUUUAGAGGAACUUGUUCUUUUAUCGAUAAUCCUCGUUUUAUCUUGCUUUAUUUUGCUGUCAGUAUGUAUAUCGUCGUUAUAAGUUUAUUUUUUUAGAAUUUAAUAAUUUACUUAAUUUUUAAUUAGAAUUUAUUUCAGAUCAAGGUGCAGCUUAUAAUAAAGUUGUAAUGAGUUACAAUAUUGUUUGAAUAAAUGGAUUUAUUAUUUUAAAAGUUUAAUGAAAGUGGAUUUAAUUGUAAUUUUAUUAUAAAGUCAAUUUGAUUAUAGCUCUAGAAUAAGUACACAUCGCCCGAUCG
rnacentral:rRNA from 1 species